AACAGAGGGUGCAAACGUUGUUCGGAAUUACUGGGCGUAAAGCGUGUGUAGGCUGCUCCAUAAGUCGGAUGUGAAAGCCCCGGGCUCAACCCGGGAAGUGCACUCGAUACUGUGGAGCUCGAGUAUCGGAGAGGUUGGUGGAAUUCUCGGUGUAGAGGUGAAAUUCGUAGAUAUCGAGAGGAACACCGGUGGCGAAGGCGGCCAACUGGACGAAUACUGACGCUGAGACACGAAAGCGUGGGGAGCAAACAGG
rnacentral:rRNA from 1 species